AUUUGAAAGCUGGCCCCUUCGGGGUCCGCGUUGUAAUUUGCAGAGGAUGCUUCGGGUGCAGCCCCCGUCUAAGUGCCCUGGAACGGGCCGUCAUAGAGGGUGAGAAUCCCGUCUGGGACGGGGUGUCUGCGUCCGUGUGAAGCUCCUUCGACGAGUCGAGUUGUUUGGGAAUGCAGCUCUAAAUGGGUGGUAAAUUUCAUCUAAAGCUAAAUACUGGCCGGAGACCGAUAGCGCACAAGUAGAGUGAUCGAAAGAUGAAAAGCACUUUGAAAAGAGAGUUAAACAGCACGUGAAAUUGUUGAAAGGGAAGCGUUUGCGACCAGACUCGCCCGCGGGGUUCAGCCGGCAUUCGUGCCGGUGUACUUCCCCGUGGGCGGGCCAGCGUCGGUUUGGGCGGCCGGUCAAAGGCCCUCGGAAUGUAUCACCUCUCGGGGUGUCUUAUAGCCGAGGGUGCAAUGCGGCCUGCCUGGACCGAGGAACGCGCUUCGGCUCGGACGCUGGCGUAAUGGUCGUAAAUGACCCGUCUUGAA
rnacentral:rRNA from 1 species